rnacentral:rRNA from 1 species
UGGGGAAUAUUGCACAAUGGGCGCAAGCCUGAUGCAGCCAUGCCGCGUGUGUGAAGAAGGCCUUCGGGUUGUAAAGCACUUUCAGCGAGGAGGAAGGUGGUGAACUUAAUACGUUCAUCAAUUGACGUUACUCGCAGAAGAAGCACCGGCUAACUCCGUGCCAGCAGCCGCGGUAAUACGGAGGGUGCAAGCGUUAAUCGGAAUUACUGGGCGUAAAGCGCACGCAGGCGGUUUGUUAAGUCAGAUGUGAAAUCCCCGGGCUCAACCUGGGAACUGCAUUUGAAACUGGCAAGCUAGAGUCUCGUAGAGGGGGGUAGAAUUCCAGGUGUAGCGGUGAAAUGCGUAGAGAUCUGGAGGAAUACCGGUGGCGAAGGCGGCCCCCUGGACGAAGACUGACGCUCAGGUGCGAAAGCGUGGGGCAGCAAACAGGAUUAGAUACCCUGGUAGUCCACGCUGUAAACGAUGUCGAUUUUGGAGGUUGUGCCCUUGAGGCGUGGCUUCCGGAGCUAACGCGUUAAAUCGACCGCCUGGGGAGUACGGCCGCAAGGUUAAAACUCAAAUGAAUUGACGGGGUC